ACUCAAUAGAUACCCCGGUAGUCCACGCCCUAAACGAUGUCUACUAGUUGUCGGGUCUUAAUUGACUUGGUAAACGCAGCUAAACGCGUGAAGUAGACCGCCUGGGGAGUACGGUCGCAAGAUUAAAACUCAAAGGAAUUGACGGGGACCCGCACAAGCGGUGGAUGAUGUGGAUUAAUUCGAUGCAACGCGAAAAACCUUACCUACCCUUGACAUGGAAGGAAUCCCUGAGAGAUCGGGGAGUGCUCGAAAGAGAACCUUUACACAGGUGCUGCAUGGCUGUCGUCAGCUCGUGUCGUGAGAUGUUGGGUUAAGUCCCGCAACGAGCGCAACCCUUGUCAUUAGUUGCUACGAAAGGGCACUCUAAUGAGACUGCCGGUGACAAACCGGAGGAAGGUGGGGAUGACGUCAAGUCCUCAUGGCCCUUAUGGGUAGGGCUUCACACGUCAUACAAUGGUACAUACAGAGGGCCGCCAACCCGCGAGGGGGAGCUAAUCCCAGAAAGUGUAUCGUAGUCCGGAUUGUAGUCUGCAACUCG
rnacentral:rRNA from 1 species